UACUUUCAAACACUGCCUUUGUGAUUAUCUGAGCAAAUUGACAGAGGCAGGGGUGCAGAAAGGAUGAAUUCCUGUAGGAGAAGGGGCUACUUAAAUACUCAGACUCAUGAAACAGUUCAAACUUGAACAACUUCAUGAGAGCCAAUCUGGGUACAUUAAACAGAAGACCUUGGAAAAUUUAGCUCUUCUGCUGCUUGGCAAAUAGGAGCAGACAUCAUGUAAACUCGUGAACAAGAAGGACCAUAACAGGGUUUAUCACUUCACAAACACAGAACAAAAAGUUGAUCCUAUGCCAGAGUUAAUGGUCACAGCUCUCUGACACAAACAAAAAAAAUGAGGACUAGUGUGGGAUGAUUUCUGCCAAGAGAGCCUGUCUUCCUGGAAUAUGCUUUCAUGAGAAGAAUAGUGGCCAGCUUAAACUGAGGCAAUAGAUGAAACCAGAUAACAUCUCAGAAGAGAAAUAUAAUACUGAACUGGAUGGAGUCCUGAUGCAGAACUGAAAGAAAAGGAAGUAGGAAAGAAAUUAAGACCCCAAAGCAUUCGACUGAAUCACAGAUUGCUAUCGCAUUAUCAUACUCUGUGUUCUUGGAGAAAAAGUAGACUGAUAGAAUUAGAGAAAAAAAACAAGAAUUCUGGUAUACAAUUUGAUGAAAGCUAUAUAUCCAACCUCUACAGUUCUGUUGUUAGGUGAUUCUGUAAUUUUGCUCUUAACGAUACCUAAUCUUUGCGGUAGGGCUGAAAGGCCAUAUGGAUAUUAUCAGACAUGCUGUCAUCCUAGUAUGAUGAUAGUGUGUGUGACACAUGCUGAUCUGUGAGCAAUACAACCAGUGCGCAACAGAGCUGCCCAGUAUAUACCUUUGGCCAAUACCCAAAACUCUUCAGCAUGACAGUGACAAAAGCUGGAAACAAGUUGCAAGAGCCAGAGCAAGAGAACAUGGCCAGUUCCCAACAGCUGUCAUUUCCAGGAGCCCCAUGAUUGUGUCCUGGCCAGACCGCCAACUUCCCACAGCCAGACCUGCAACAUGACAGAAAGGGUCUGGUGGCUUCCCAGGAAAAAGCAUUGCUAUUAGUAUUUCAUGGGUUGCAACAAUUAUUCAAGUAUUCUGCAGAUCUACAGAGACUCCACAAACAGUAUUUUAAGCAGUAUUACUUUUGACUUUUCAAAUUUUAGGCAGCUGGAUUUCAUCUUCCAAUGAACCACUAAACUAAGAAAUCAAUGUUGUUAUUUCAUAGGAGGAUAUUUAUUUGCACCAAAUAGUCAACACAGUACAAAGGAUUCUCUGCUGAACUUAUGUCACAUACCAGGUAUACAUCUUACAUCUGAUAAAAAGAAUACUCUAUCACUAUACAAGAAACCAUGUCAAUAAUGAGACCAGCACAAUAACAACUGCUAACAAGUUUCAUGCCACUCAGUCCAGUCAAAGAAGUGAAAUCUAGACAGCACAACAUUGCUCUAUAAGCAGUGCCCAAGCCUAACCGGUGCAGAAUUUAUUAGAGAGCUUCUCUGUGUUGCCAUUUUAGAAUUUAUUUUUUUUUACUGUCUUGAUUUUUUUCAGCAACAUAUCACAACAAAAUUAAUCAAGCUAUACUGACUAUCUAUGGAUAAAUUUAAUUGUGAGAAAGGACUUCAUCUCACAAAUGAAAAGUAGGCUGUGUUUUCAGAGUGGGUGUUUACUGGAAAGAAAUUAGUCUCAGUGUGCAUCAGAAUGAACAAUCUGCGGUCAGCUCAUAGAGACAGUUUCACUUUCUUCUCUUUUAUAAGAAUUGUUCUUAUGGAGUGAGUUUCUUCUUUUGUCUUAUGCUGGGGUCUGUUCCUCACCGAGAGCUAUUCAUUCGAGCACACAUGAAGUCACACCAGAAGAACUUAUUUUCUAAGAAGUGGAAACACUAGUGGAACAUCUUCUCCUUUCCUCAAGCACAUCCCAACUCUGUAUCAGCUCUCCCAGGAACUUCUAGUCUGGUUGGCACACUGGUUAGCAAACAGAUUCUCUAUUAUUGAAACAAUUUCAACACAUAUUCCAGAGCGCGCGCUUGGCAGAGGCCUGUCCCUGUUACCUUGCAACUGAGAUAUUAAACUGUAUAUAAACAGACUUCACACUACCAGCCUUCCUAGAAGCACCCACAUUCUCUGGGGAAGUCUACAUGUGCGUGAUCACAGUACACCAUUGGCUUGUGGCCAGGCACAACUCUCAUUUCCUUAAGGCUUUCCUCUAGGCAAAGAAGCGUGACCUUCCUGUCUUGUCCUGGUGAGACAAGAGUAUGGCCAGAUUUGACAGCUGGGAAACGUUGCUUUUUCUGUGAUACAGAUACAGCCUGUAGUACUGAGUGCCACCUUUGAAAGUUUUAUGCUUCCCAUGGAGAGGUAGCUGCAUAUGCACGAGUAGCUGCCAGAUAUUUAAAAACCUGUGCUGUUAUUCUUUACUUCUACGUACACUGAAACACUCAUAACGCUCUAGCAGUAAGAAAUCAAAAUAUUUCAAUCUCUUAGCUUCAAGACUUCAGUUUCUCACAUCCCAUACAUAUUUCUAAAUAUGUGUGUUACUUCAGCAUCUAAAAUGAACACUCUUCAAUAUUCACAAGCAUCAUAUUAAGAUCACUUGACAUUUGACUUAAAUUUAAGAUGUAAUACACAAGUUUUUUGACAAUUAACUUCAAAAGGUAUUACUGUAAAUCCAUAUAACUUGGUUGUUUGAACAAUUAUCCUGAAUAGCACCGAUUUUCGCUUAUUUCAACAAAAGCAUUGUUCCUUCCACUGGAACGUCUUAAUUAGUUCAAACACAUUUCACACAUCUACACACACCUCCUGUCCUCUAUUGAUGCUUUAUUCUCUCUAAGGAAAAACAUUAUCAUUUGAACCAAGUUAUUUUCCAAGCAGUAUUACCCUUCAGCUCACUAGUAAAGUACACAGAAUUUGCUUUUUAAGCACUUGAAAAAAAAAAUUAUCAUUUCAAUGAAAGAAGGCAUAAUUAGUCAACUUUUUAUUACAAAUAUGGACUGUGUUGUGUUGCCCAGACAGAAUUUCAGGAUAGCCUUUGUGCUUAACUCCGAUUUCUGCACCACAUUCUUUCCCUUCCUUUGAAGGUGAAGCUGAAGAUCUCCUGCCAGUGGGAAUCUCUGUUCCCAUCAGGAAAGAGGUCAUAGACUACAGCUGUGGAUGCACAUAUUUCUCUUUCAGAAAUACUUCUUAAGUAUUCCUUUUUCUGUUUGCUUUUUUUUUUGUUGUUGUUGUUGGUUUGUUUAAACAUGGGGAGCAAUGUACUUAAGAAAGAAACAGUUGAAUCACCAUAAGUAGUUUUACUCACUAGCACCUACAGCCUUUGUCUCAUUUUCUUGAUGUCUGCUAGGAGCACCCUUCUGAACCACCAAACACUAAACCACAAAUUCAAAGUGAGUUGCCUAAGUAAACAGAAUUGAUCAAGGGAAUGAACUCCCUGACAGUGAUAUCAGUGGAGCUUGUGUAUGGAAAACUGCAUUUCAGGGCCCAAAGGGAUUCAUAUUUAUUUUAGAUUCCUGCUGUAGAUUUGGAAGUUUGUGCUGUGAGGUCUCUCACUUGUUUUUUUCUCUUCCUCUAAGAACCGGAUAGUGGGUCAGGAAAAAAAUUGAAAGUAUGCACUAAUUAUGCAGCAUGUUGAAAGACACCCUUUUAACUUUCUACUAUAAACAAGACAACAAACAAAGCUGUUGACAUUAUUCACUACCAGAAAGGAAAUUAUGAUGAUUGUGAUUAGGACACAUAAACUUUUUUCUAGAGUUGUAUUUUAAAACGCAUAAAAGUUACAGCAGUGUAUAAUGAGAGAAUAAUUCUAUCACAGUCCUUUUUUGAGAAUGCGUACAAACAAUCCUAAAAAGAAAAUGAAAGCAUUUGCAUAUGGUAAGACAUUUACUAUCAAGAAUCUGAUCACAAUGUCCUUCUGCUAGUUUUAGGAAACUAGCAAUCUUAAACUCAAGCUAUAAAUUACAAUGACUGCUGGCAUUUCAUAAAAGUGAAGUGUUUGCCUGCAAGCAUAACUAUUUUGGUUUUGUCUAUUGGAUUAUCACAAGAAAUGAGCUCUGAUUCCUCUAAACAAAAGCUAUUUGAAAGAAAAAUGUCCAUUUUCAGAUUGAAAACCUUUAGAGAAAAUUAGAACACAUACAGUAUAAUUUUUAGUCUUUUAUUUGAAUGUCUGAGUUUUUAUGACCUCAGUAAGGCUGAUAUUUAAAGUAGAGUUUUACUGAUAAAAAUUCCUUUUAGUCAGUUUAGUGUGCAAUACCAGAAAAAUUAGCUAGAAUCUCAAAAUAAAUGUUUCUACUAUCUUCAUUCAGCUCUUAUCUAAAGAAAAGGGGAAAAUCUUCAUUGAUUUUAUUACAUUCUGAAUACUAGCCAGCAGAUAAGACUCUAAAAUAACUGAUUCAUAAGAAGUCAAAACAAAGUGCUACGGAUGGUUCACAUUCUCACAACCAUACUCCUAAAUAUGGAGAAGUUUCUUGUUUCCUCUGUGUAUUCUUAUCUUACUAUGACCUAAAAAAGUGGAAUCCAGUAAAGAUGAAAAGGAUCCUUUUGUAAUUUAUACACUAACUUGACUUUCUGCCAGCUUCAUGGACAAAUACACUCUCUGGUAAAGUAAAAUUUAAAAAAGGAGUUAAAUUGUCUUAAAUUUUUUGUUACUAAA